GGGAAGUUGCAAGAAGGGGCUUGGAGAGGCCCAUGCAGUGGGGAACAACAGUGGGCAUGCUCAGCACCAUGAGGAUUGAGCGGGAAGUCAGGGGAGCCAUCUCUGAAAGGGAGAGUAGUAAGUCAGGCUCCCAGAGCCUCCUGAUCUUACUCAGAGACAGGAAGGGCAAAGAGACCCAGAGCAGAGAGACUGCAGGCAGACAGUGCCAGGACCCAGAUGUACCCAGUGGCCAUGCCCCAAGCUCCUCCUGGCUGCUAUGGUCCCAGGAAAGAAGCUAUGAAAAAUCUCCUGCAGGCAGACUGUGAACACUGCCUUGGGACUGGCUGCUUCUUCCACAUGCUACCAGGCAGCGGGUCCCCAAGUUCUGGCUUUUAUGAUGCAGGUUAUUGAGGACAAAGCUGGAGCAAAAUGAUAGUAUUUGGAGUUAUGAUCUGCUGAAAGAGUUUUGGGGGACAGAAGCCACUUUCCCUGUCUUGGAGGUGCUAGCUGGGGAGGCAAGUGUGUCGAUGCACAGUGACAGAAGCUUGCACACAAUUAGGCAGGGGUUGGAGUCAUCUAGAAUGGUAAAGAAGGCAGAAAGGAGGUGCUGAAUCUCACAGGGUAAGGCAGGGGUAUGCAGACAGAAAAUGGAAUAUAGCAUUUCACAGUUCCUGGCCUAGGGGUCUGGACUCCACCCACCAGCAUGGGACCUUGAGUGAAUCACCCACCUCUCCAGCCUGCAGGGUGCUUAUCUGUGAAAGGGGGCUGGCCCAAAGCCCUUCGGCUUUCUAGGACACAACCCCAGUGACCCACCUCCUCCAACCAUGUCCCGUCUACAGUUACCACUCAGUCAAACUAGGAUGGGCCGAUUAGGAUACAGCUCUCAUAACCUAACCAUCUCACCUCUGAAUAUUCCUGCAUUAACACAGGAGCUUCUGAGGACACCUCAUAUCCAAACCAAGCGGAUGCUUCAAAAAUAGGAACUAUCAUUAUUUCUAACAGCAGUCCAAAUCUGCAGGUGACUGCCUGUCUGUGUGACAUGGUCAGGUCUUUCAAGUACGGGAAAAGGGGUCUUUGGUGAGUGGUUCCAUCCUGUUCCAACAGCAGGUGAGGGGCAGAGGGAGGCAGGAGGAGGGAGGGUUCAAAGAAUGCAGCAACAACGUUAGUGAGAGGAACCGGGGCCUGAUGCCUGGAUUUGAAUCUGGAUCUGCUGAGAACUGCCUGGGGACCCUGGGCCUGUUGUUUACCUUCUCUGAGCCUCAAUGUUGUCAACUGUAAAAUGUGGAUGAACCCCUCCCUCCCUCCCAGGCUUGCUGUGAAGACAGCAGAUAAUGCACAAAGGGC
rnacentral:lncRNA from 1 species